UUCGAUAACGCGUCGAGACCUUAACCUGCUAAAUAGCCCGGCUAGCUUUUGCUGGUCGCUGGCUUCUUAGAGGGACUAUCGGCUCAAGCCGAUGGAAGUUUGAGGCAAUAACAGGUCUGUGAUGCCCUUAGAUGUCCCGGGCCGCACGCGCGUUACACUGACAGAGCCAACGAGUUCAUCACCUUGGCCGAAAGGCCUGGGUAAUCUUGUUAAACUCUGUCGUGCUGGGGAUAGAGCAUUGCAAUUAUUGCUCUUCAACGAGGAAUGCCUAGUAAGCGCGUGUCAUCAGCACGCGUUGAUUACUCCCUGCCCUUGCCCCCCCCCG
rnacentral:rRNA from 1 species